rnacentral:SRP_RNA from 14 species
GCAGUGCCUAUGUAGACAGUGCCGUCACCCCCAAUGGCUGCGUUCGAGAAGGCGUCUGCAUGGCAGGGAUCCGGCCGGCGAUCAUCACCCAACGGUGAACCGUGCCAGGGUGGCAACUCGUAGAACCAGCUGCGGGCGCCCGUGUUU